CCUUUGAAUUAGAACAUCAGCAGCCAUAAAACAUACGGGUUUUCUUCUCCACAGAAAAUUUCCUCUUCGAUCUCCAUUGUCAUUUUUCAUCCUUAUACAAGCUACCCAUAUUGGUGAAAAAGAUUCAAAAGGUCCUGAAAGUCCCAAAUCUAAGAAUCAAAACUCUAUCUCUCUAUUUAUGUUGCUCCCUUUCUCAGCUAGAUCUAAUUUUUCUCAAAAUCCCCCAAAUCACAAGAUUUAAAUCUUAGUUUCUCUAUUCUUAAUUGAAGGAACAACUUUGCUGCUCCGUUUCUUUGCUUCCAGUUAGUGACCCAAAAUCUCAAGUCAGGCAUAUCUUCAAAUCCCCAAUCCUUUCCUUUUUCUCAUGGGUUAUAUGAAAGAAAGUUUGGGAUUUCUUGUGAUCUUCCAAGCACAGCAAGUAUUAUGGACUAUAAAGAAUUUCGCAUAAAAGAGUCAUCCAGAGCGUAUUUGGUAUUGUUAUUGUGGAUUCGAUCUUGACAGAACUCUCAACUAUUUAUUUUUUUGGGAAAUGAAAGGAAUUGGACGAGGUAAAAGUGUGAGAGGCGGGACGAGCCGUGGACAUGGCAAUUUUCGAGGACGUGGAAGUUCAGGAACGAUGUCUCAACCACAAAUACAACCAACAGAGAUUAACGAGGCAUCUUUGGAGAUAGGAUAAUCAAGUAACCCAACUCAAGGACCUAUACAGACCGAACAAACAUCAAGUAGCCCUCUCCAAAGAACAUCUCUAGAGACACAAUCAUCAAGGAAUCUAGAAGAAAGUGUACUUCCCUCUCCAUAGGCUUCAAACGGUGUAGGGACGAGGUUCUUAAACAAUGGAGCAAAUCAAAGAAAAGUUUGAAGGCGUGCAAUAGAAGUUUUUGGUCAUAUAUAAUAUGCAUAAAAUGAAAGUUUUUAUGUGAUAUGCAUACAAUGGAAGUGUUUGAUGAUAUGUAAUAUAUAUACGUUGGAAGUUUUUUCUUUUUUGGGUCAUAUGUAUAUGCAUAUAAUGAACCGAAGUACUAUGUCCAUAGUAUAUCUGUUGUUGACUUUUAAGUAAUGAAAGUAUUUAUGAUAUUCGGCUUGGAA